GAAACGGCACUAUGCAAUAGAUAGGUGUGAACCCCGUCAGGUCCGGAAGGAAGCAGCGGUAAACAUUUUAUCUGUGUGACAUAGGACGUCGUUUCCUG
rnacentral:SRP_RNA from 1 species